GGUUGACAGUGACAAAGGUGGUUCUUGUUCUGUAAUCUAAGGCUUAGCCAUAGUGACUUGGAACUCACAAACCAACCAAUCCGACCUAUAGACCCUCCUGUAAUUACAAAAUAAAACAGCUAAAUAGAUCUCUAUCUUCCACAGAUGUUUCUUGCAUAGAAGAAAUAAUAGUUACACACUUGACUUGCUACAAUCAACAGUCAUAAAACUCACCUACUAUUAAAAAUACAUGAAUUAACAAAAAAAUACCACAUUAAUCCCAUCAAGAACAACAUUUAUACAUUAGAGAAACAUAAACCAGACAUACAGUGUUCACUGAGUUACCAAUUCAAGCAACUGGCUAACACAUUCAACAGAGAACAUUAAUAUGCCACCAAAAAUCAACAGACAGCAACAAAAUCAGUACCAGGAACCCUAGUCAAGGAAGAAAAUAUUCUCUACACAAACUAAUACCAACAUCAUUUAAUUUAUUAUUCAAGUUAUCAAUCAUCACCACAGUCCACAGACAUACAGCAUAUUCAACAGAUAACAUAAUCAAUGCAAACAAUUAUAAAAAUAAAAACUCAGCCUAAUUAUCAAAAUACCAAACAUAAAAAGGGAAGGAAAGAGAAGCUCAAAACCUCAGAAUCACCCCCAGCAAUUG
rnacentral:misc_RNA from 1 species